ACAGUCAUAUCACGUUGAAAGACCGGUUCUCAUCCAAUCACCAAAGUUAAGCAUCAUUAAGCCUGGUUAGUACCUAAACUGGUGACUUCAUGGGAAUACCAGAUGCUGU